CAGUAGCCACGGUAAUACAGAGGGUGCAAGCGUUAAUCGGAAUUACUGGGCGUAAAGCGCGCGUAGGUGGUUUGUUAAGUUGGAUGUGAAAUCCCCGGGCUCAACCUGGGAACUGCAUCCAAAACUGGCAAGUUAGAGUAUGGUAUAGGGUGGUGGAAUUUCCUGUGUAGCGGUGAAAUGCGUAGAUAUAGGAAGGAACACCAGUGGCGAAGGCGACCACCUGGACUGAUACUGACACUGAUGUGCGAAAGCGUGGGGAGCAAACAGGAUUAGAUACCCCGGUAGUCCCUGUCUCUUAUAC
rnacentral:rRNA from 1 species